rnacentral:rRNA from 1 species
GACGAACGCUGGCGGCGUGCUUAACACAUGCAAGUCGAACGCUGAAGCUUGUUGCUUGCACUGGGUGGAUGAGUGGCGAACGGGUGAGUAAUACGUGAGUAACCUGCCCUUGACUCUGGGAUAAGCCUGGGAAACUGGGUCUAAUACUGGAUACGACAUGUCACCUCAUGGUGGUGUGUGGAAAGGGUUUUACUGGUUUUGGAUGGGCUCACGUCCUAUCAGCUUGUUGGUGGGGUAAUGGCUCACCAAGGCGACGACGGGUAGCCGGCCUGAGAGGGUGACCGGCCACACUGAGACUGAGACACGGCCCAGACUCCUACGGGAGGCAGCAGUGGGGAAUAUUGCAAAAUGGGCGGAAGCCUGAUGCAGCGACGCCGCGUGAGGGAUGACGGCCUUCGGGUUGUAAACCUCUUUCAGCACGGAAGAAGCGAAAGUGACGGUACGUGCAGAAGAAGCGCCGGCUAACUACGUG